GACGAACGCUGGCGGCGUGCUUAACACAUGCAAGUCGAACGAUGAAGCCGGAGCUUGCUCUGGUGAAUUAGUGGCGAACGGGUGAGUAACACGUGAGUAACCUGCCCUUGACUCUGGGAUAACUGCGGGAAACUGUAGCUAAUACCGGAUACGACCCUCGGAGGCAUCUCCUGGGGGUGGAAAGAAUUUCGGUCAAGGAUGGACUCGCGGCCUAUCAGCUAGUUGGUGAGGUAAAGGCUCACCAAGGCGACGACGGGUAGCCGGCCUGGGAGGGGGACCGGCCACACUGGGACUGAGACACGGCCCAGACUCCUACGGGAGGCAGCAGUGGGGAAUAUUGCACAAUGGGCGCAAGCCUGAUGCAGCAAUGCCGCGUGAGGGAUGACGGCCUUCGGGUUGUAACCCUCUUUUAGCAGGGAAGAAGCGAAAGUGACGGUACCUGCAGAAAAAGCACCGGCUAACUACGUGCCAGCCGCCGCGGUAA
rnacentral:rRNA from 1 species